UACGGGGGGGGGCAAGCGUUGUUCGGAAUUACUGGGCGUAAAGCGUGCGCAGGCGGUUUUGUAAGCCAGAUGUGAAAGCCCCCGGGCUUAACCUCGGGAACUGCAUUGGUGACUAGGCAGGCUUUGAGUGUGGCAGAGGGAGGUAGAAUUCCAGCGUGUAGCAGUGAAAUGCGUAGAGAAUGUGGAGGAAUACCGAUGGCGAAGGCAGCCUCCUGGGCCAACACUGACGCUCAUGCCACGAAAGCGUGGGGAGCA
rnacentral:rRNA from 1 species